GCUGGGGCAGGGUAGGGAGCUAGCUGGUGGUUCUGUGAUGGUGAGGCAGGGUACCUCUCAGGAGUAGAAGGCUCUGCCGGUGGUGAGCAGCCUCCGCAGGUGUCCCUGGCACCUGGCCUGCCCCCACCAGCCUGGCUUGUGGGGGAGGGUUUGAGGGCAUGAAAUGCCCUGGCAACACAAGUCCCUGACCACUCCUCUGGUCUUGUGUCUUAGCCCAGCUGGCCUGGACUUGGGUUGGGGUGUGUGACUGCAGCCAGCACAGCCAGAUGGGGAGGGGCAUCUACAGCUUCAGGAAACUGGCACAUCUGGCUGGAGAGGCAGACACAGCUGGUGGGCCCUGUGUGGGAGGUACCAGGCCACGGGGGGUGGUGGGGGGGUAGCCAUACCCCACUGAGGGGCUGCCACAUAAGGACUCAGGCAGCAUCUGUGUGCCUGGUCAAGGAAGUCCAGUCAGGGCUCCUGGUUGUAAGAUCCUUGGGCCCCUCAAGGGCCAGGGAUGGUGCAGCCUUGCCUGGGGGUAUUGCCUCAGAAAUGGAGUCUCUGGGGCAACACUACCCCCCAGGCUAACCUUUCCUCCCCUGCUGAGGCCAGAGGAGUCUUCACUGGAUCCUGGGACCAGAUGUGCACACAGGAAAUGUUAGGCACUGCCCUUGACCCAUGGCAGAUAGGCACUGGAGGGCAUUCUGUGAAGGAGCAGUGGACCUGGGAUGGGUACCCCACAACAGGUCUGACAUUGACAAGUCCUUAUCCAAGCUACUUCCCCACCACUCUCUGGCCCCUGGAGGCCCUGAGGAACUUCUGUUACAACCAAAUUGCAUCCUGA
rnacentral:lncRNA from 1 species